UUAGAGCUUGCUCCUAUAGGAAGUUACGGCGGCAGGGUGAGUAACACGUGGGUAACCUGCCCAUAAGACUGGGAUAACUCCGGGAAACCGGGGCUAAUACCGGAUAACAUUUUGAACCGCAUGGUUCGAAAUUGAAAGGCGGCUUCGGCUGUCACUUAUGGAUGGACCCGCGUCGCAUUAGCUAGUUGGUGAGGUAACGGCUCACCAAGGCAACGAUGCGUAGCCGACCUGAGAGGGUGAUCGGCCACACUGGGACUGAGACACGGCCCAGACUCCUACGGGAGGCAGCAGUAGGGAAUCUUCCGCAAUGGACGAAAGUCUGACGGAGCAACGCCGCGUGAGUGAUGAAGGCUUUCGGGUCGUAAAACUCUGUUGUUAGGGAAGAACAAGUGCUAGUUGAAUAAGCUGGCACCUUGACGGUACCUAACCAGAAAGCCACGGCUAACUACGUGCCAGCAGCCGCGGUAAUACGUAGGUGGCAAGCGUUAUCCGGAAUUAUUGGGCGUAAGCGCGCGCGGUGGUUUCUUAAGUCUGAUGUGAAACGCCCACGGCUCAACCGUGGAGGGUCAUUGGAAACUGGGAACUUGAUGCAAAAGAGGAAAGUGAAUUCCUUGUGUCGUAAUGCUAAAUUUGGAAGGAACCACCUANGUGACAAAAGGCGCAACUUUCUGGUUUUNUANUCUUAACACUGUGUGGCCAAAAACCUNUUGGGAGACCAAAAGAGGAUUAAAAUCCCUUCUUACUCACCCCNAAUAAUUAUUUCUAUUUUUUGAUGGNUUCCCCCCUUAUUAUUAAUUUCUCCAUUACUACUCCUCUGGGAAUUNCNGCCCNGGGUUAAUAAAAAAUUAAAGCGCCCACAUNUUCUUUUUUUUUUUANNUAAACUCAUUNUUUUUNNCAAAUAUUUCUUUUUUUUUUUUUUUUUUAUUUNUACAUCAUUCUUUUUU
rnacentral:rRNA from 1 species